AUUGAACGCUGGCGGCAUGCCUUACACAUGCAAGUUGAACGGUAACGCGGGGCAACCUGGCGACGAGUGGCAAACGGGUGAGUAAUGCAUCGGAACGUGCCCAGUAGUGGGGGAUAACUGCUCGAAAGAGUAGCUAAUACCGCAUACGACCUGAGGGUGAAAGCGGGGGAUCGCAAGACCUCGCGCUAUUGGAGCGGCCGAUGUCAGAUUAGGUAGUUGGUGGGGUAAAGGCCCACCAAGCCAACGAUCUGUAGCUGGUCUGAGAGGACGACCAGCCACACUGGGACUGAGACACGGCCCAGACUCCUACGGGAGGCAGCAGUGGGGAAUUUUGGACAAUGGACGCAAGUCUGAUCCAGCCAUGCCGCGUGCGGGAAGAAGGCCUUCGGGUUGUAAACCGCUUUUGUCAGGGAAGAAGCGCUCUGGGUUAAUACCUCGGGGUAAUGACGGUACCUGAAGAAUAAGCACCGGCUAACUACGUGCCAGCAGCCGCCGUAAAAC
rnacentral:rRNA from 1 species